UUUAUUUUUAGCUGCUUUCGGCUUCCCACUUCUCGCGCAACGCCCGCUGCGGCCGCGUGGUUGCGGGCAGGUCGAGCCGAGGGCCGUAGGAGACGGCUGUUAGGGAUCGGACCCACGCGAGGAGAGGGCGCGGGACUGCUCUGUUCCUCCGCUGUGCCUGCGGCUCUCACGGCUCGGACGGGAAUGGGGGACGCGGUUUGGAUGGGGCCCUGGGCAGCCUGGUCCGGUGGGAGGCAGCCCUGUCCACAGCAGGGGGUUGGAGAUUAUCAUCUUUGAGUUAUCUGUAGGAAACAUCAAAGUAUCUUCUAUCAUGGACGAGUCAAAUGAACACAAAGUAAGCAAACAGCCUGUGAUAGAAGGUGCGAUUGGGUGCCUGGUUAAAGCACGUCCUGGUACAGCAGUGGUUCUCAUGUGGCACUACCGCAGUAGUUAUCUAAAGGAGAGGUUGGAGGAGGAGUGCUGAAGAAGGCUGUUGAGCACCUUCAGGAACUGAUAAAGCUGAAGAACACUUCUCAAAUGCUUGUAGUAAAUCAUAAGAAACGUUGCUACGUCCGGUUGAAAAUCACAUGGCUUCAAGAAUCAGAUUCCUGAGCCUUUGCUGAGUGUUAAAAGCAAAAGUGACUUCAAGAGAAAGUGGGGCUUUGUUAGUUUAUCGCAGACAGGUGAUGUGGAAGAUGUUUUUCCAAGGCAAUGGGCACAGGAAAGUGUUUCAAAUUAGCAUCCCGCUGGCAGAAGCGGUUGCAACGUGAAUUCCUUUCUAGCCGGCCUAGCAGCAGCCACCAAGCAGAAACCAACUGGAAUAAAUGCUUCUGCUCCUGAGCAAGCUGGAAGCAGACCUGGGAGCAGGAAUUAGAUGAUAUUCUACACCAGCACAGAAUAAACUGUGUGAGAAUGAGAGAAAAUGGGAUCGGUGAAUGAAAAGGGUUAAUAUAAUGAGUAAAGAAAAAAAAUGGAUAUCCUGGAAAUUCCAUAAUUCAAGCUCUUAGUUACUUCAGAGCAAGGUGGUACUCAGAAUUAUUUGUUUUCUGAAUUUAAAUUGACUUUUUAUGUGCAACAGUGGAAAUUAAUGGUUUCCGCUGUUGUUGUCGAUUGUCAUCUGAAGUCAGUUGUGCCAUUACUGGCUUUGCAAGACUGUUCUGUCCAUCAGCUAUUUGAAAAGGGGAUGCUGCCCUUUUUUCUUCUCCACCUUGUUGUUCAUCCAGCAAACUGCACAACUGAUUGCCAGUGGCUGCUGAAAAGCCAAGGUCUGUUUGAAAAAUUUUGAAGGUUGUGGGAGGACUGAAGUUUGUCCCUUCCACUAUCAUCUCUACCUGCUGAAAAGCAGAAGAUGCUUCUUUUGUUUACUACAUGGGUGCCCCAAGCCAUGCCUCCCUCUGGAAGAGCCUCUCAUCUAUACAAAACUGAGGGAAUCUGGAACAGUUCCCAGCUCCAAGGAUUUUGUUUUGUGCAUUGAUUGAUAUCAAGUGGUUGCAAUUUACAUUCUUUACCUGCACUAGAGGCUGUCCUCACAGAGAUGCCUUCAACAGCCAAAUGCAUUCAUAACCUUUGCAGUGUUCAAAAGGACUGUCACAAUAGUUGUGUUCAUGCUUACAUUCAUGAUACAACAUUUACUGAAGAAUAAAUUAAAUUGAUAAAGAUAGGAAAAUGAUAUUCUGGUUGAGUUACUAAACACUUGUAAUUAAGUAUGGAUAUCAUGCACAAGGUAUUAAUAUUGUGACUUUAGGGAAUCAAGUUUCUUAGUCCAGUUUUUCUUGAUAAUCUUAGUCUUAAAACUUCCCAGGAAGGUGAGGGGAGAGUACAAAUUGUCUAUGUGGAGAACAAUGCAUAUGGAAAAGUUGUGUGAGUUUGCAUACAUUGGAAGCUUGGCAUUAGAGAAUAGCCUUGUUCUCCAUCCUCAGCUCCAGCUUUGCUUCUCUCAGUUUUUGUCAGUCUCCGAUUGCUUUUUGCACCAAUUACAGUGAUAAAGUCAGUAGAAGAAGAAUACUCUAUUGAAUAAAAUAUUUUAAGGGUACUGUGACCUGCUAAACAUCAAUAUUGCUAAGACUGAGAGACUAUUUUUAAUAAAUUGCUUACCAGGAUUUUUUAAAUCUAAAUAAAUUGAAAUAUCUUUAUUUUGUGAAGGUACACACAUAUAUAUAAAGGCAUUUGAUUUUAUGGUAGUAAAUUGUUCCAAAAGAUUUACACCUGAG
ensembl:lncRNA